rnacentral:rRNA from 1 species
UACGUAGGGUGCAAGCGUUAAUCGGAAUUACUGGGCGUAAAGGGCGCGUAGGCGGCCAGCACAAGUCAGUUGUGAAAUCUCCGAGCUUAACUCGGAACGGUCAACUGAUACUGUGCGGCUAGAGUGCGGAAGGGGCAACUGGAAUUCUUGGUGUAGCGGUGAAAUGCGUAGAUAUCAAGAGGAACACCUGCGGCGAAGGCGGGUUGCUGGGCCGACACUGACGCUGAGGCGCGAAAGCUAGGGGAGCGAACGGG